UACGAAGGGGGCUAGCGUUGCUCGGAAUCACUGGGCGUAAAGCGCACGUAGGCGGCUUCUUAAGUCAGGGGGUGAAAUCCUGGAGCUCAACUCCAGAACUGCCUUUGAUACUGGGAAGCUUGAGUCCGGGAGAGGUGAGUGGAAUUCCUGGUGUAGCGGUGAAAUGCGCAGAUAUCAGGAAGAACACCAAUGGCGAAGGCAGCUCUCUGGGGACGGUACUGAGCUGAGACGCGAAAAGCGUGGGGGAGCGAAACAGGAUUAGAAA
rnacentral:rRNA from 1 species